GACGAACGCUGGCGGCGUGCUUAACACAUGCAAGUCGAACGGAAAGGCCCUGCUUGCCGGGUACUCGAGUGGCGAACGGGUGAGUAACACGUGGGUGAUCUGCCCUGCACUUCGGGAUAAGCCUGGUAAACUGGGUCUAAUACCGGAUAUGACCUUCCAUGAAGUGUGGGGGGCGGUAGGAUUUAGCGGUUUGGGUUGAGCUCGCGGCCUAUCAGCUUGUUGGUGGGGUAAUGGCCUACCAAGGCGUCUACGGGUAGCCGGCAUUGGAGGGUGGACGGCCACAUUGGGACUACGAUAGGGACCAGAAGCCUACGGGAGGCAGUAGGGGGAAGUAUUGCACAAUGGGCGGAAGUCUUAUGCGAAGGCGUUGGGUGGGGAAUGCCGGCCUUCGGGUUGUAAACCUCUGUCGACAUAGACGAAGCUGCGGUGACGGUACCUGUAUAAGAAGCACCGGCUAACUACGUG
rnacentral:rRNA from 1 species